GCCGGAGUGGCGAAACGGCAGACGCAGGGGACUUAAAAUCCUCCGCCCUCGGGGCGUGCGGGUUCGAAUCCCGCCUCCGGCA
rnacentral:tRNA from 1 species